rnacentral:rRNA from 1 species
CGUAAACCGUGCGCGUUACAAUCCGUCGGAGCCGUCCUUGCGGGGUGACGGCGUGCCUUUUGAAGAAUGAGCCUGCGACGUUAGUGCUCAGUGGCGAGGUUAACCCGUGUGGGGAAGCCGUAGCGAAAGCGAGUCCGAAUAGGGCGAAUGAGUCGCUGGGUCUAGACCCGAAGCGGAGUGAUCUACCCAUGGCCAGGUUGAAGCGACGGUAAGACGUCGUGGAGGACCGAACCCACUUAGGUUGAAAACUGAGGGGAUGAGCUGUGGUAGGGGUGAAAGGCCAAUCAAACUCCGUGAUAGCUGGGUUCUCCCCGAAAUGCAUUUAGGUGCAGCGUCACGUGUUUCUUACCGGAGGUAGAGCUACUGGAUAGCCGAUGGGCCUCACCAGGUUACUGACGUUAGCCAAACUCCGAAUGCCGGUAAGUGAGAGCGUGGCAGUGAGACUGCGGGGGAUAAGCUCCGUAGUCGAGAGGGAAACAGCCCAGAUCACCAGCUAAGGUCCCUAAGCGUGUGCUAAGUGGAAAAGGAUGUGGAGUUGCCGUGUCGACGCGGCCG